UACGUAGGGUGCAAGCGUUGUCCGGAAUUAUUGGGCGUAAAGAGCUUGUAGGCGGUUUGUCGCGUCUGCUGUGAAAUUUCGGGGCUCAACCCCGAACUUGCGGUGGGUACGGGCAGACUAGAGUGUGGUAGGGGAGACUGGAAUUCCUGGUGUAGCGGUGAAAUGCGCAGAUAUCAGGAGGAACACCGAUGGCGAAGGCAGGUCUCUGGGCCAUAACUGACGCUGAGAAGCGAAAGCAUGGGGAGCGAACAGG
rnacentral:rRNA from 1 species